rfam:Oryza sativa Japonica Group DNA, chromosome 2, cultivar: Nipponbare, complete sequence.
AAAAAAGACAAACCUGAGUUUCCAUGUCCAACGUUUGACUGUCCAUCUUAUAUGAAAUUUUUUUAUAAUUAGUACUUUCAUUGUUGUUAGAUGAUAAAACAUGAUUAAUACUUUAUGUGUGACUUAUCUUUUUAAUUUUUUUCAUAUUUUUUUCAAAUAAGAUGGACGGUCAAACGUUGGACACGGAAACUCAGGGUUCGUCUUUUU